UACAAUUUACAAUGCAACAAAUUAUGUUGCUGCAGGUAGACUAUUGAUGGAGAGGCACCCAUCUAUAGUUUGGACUCCAUGUGCUGCUCAUUGCAUUGACCUCAUGUUGGAGGAUAUUGGAAAAAUCCCAUGGGUCAAGAGAUGUGUAGAAAGGGCAAGAAAUGUGUGCAAAUUUGUAUAUAAUCAUUCAUGGGUGUUGGCUCUUAUGAGACAAUACACAGAGCAGAAGGAGUUAGCUCGUCCAAGAAUCACAAGAUUUGCCACAAACUUCCUCACAUUGCAGUCCAUGCUUAGGUCUAAGUCUGCCUUGAGACUUAUGAUUGUUGGUGAGGAGUGGUCUUCCUCAUCCUAUGCUACCACCCCUGCAGGGAUAGAGAUGGCAGACUGCAUUUUUGAUGAGCAAGGCUUUUGGGUCCCUUGUGAUGAGAUAGUGAAGUUUGUUAAGCCCUUGGUGGUUUUGUUGCGAGUUGCAGAUGGAGAUAAGCCCGCAAUGGGCUAUAUAUAUGAGGGCAUGGAUAGGGCGAAGGAGGCCAUCAGAUUCGUCUAUGGAGGAGAUGAGAGCAAGUAUGGUCCCAUUUGGGAGAUCAUUGAUAGGAGAUGGCAUCAUCAGCUUCAUAGGCCCAUCCAUGCGGCAGCCUAUCAUCUGAAUCCGGCAUUCCGUUUAUCCCUUCUUUCAAGGCUGAUGUGGAGGUCCUUAAUGGGCUAUAUGCAAUCAUGGAGAAGAUGGGACCUGCUGGUACUUCUCAGAUAGACCUUUUUCGAGAACUACAGAUGCUCUUAGAUGCACAAGGGGAGACCUUCUCUCGUCCUGUCGCCAAAGACGGUAGGACAACUAUGAUGCCAGAUCAUUGGUGGAAUUUUUUUUGGCCCAGAGACACCAAAUAUUCAGAAGUUGGCCAUUCGCAUCUUGAGCCAACCAUGCAGCGCAUUAGGUUGUGAGUGCAAUUGGAGUAUGUUUGAGCACAUACACUCCAAGAGGCACAAUAGAUUAUCUGUGGAGAAGAUGAAUGAUCUCGUCUUUGUUCACUACAACCACCGCCUGAGAAUGAGAAAGAAUGCAAUAGUUCACAUGUCUCCUAUAAUUCUAGAUGAGGUUGAUCUUGAAGCAGAGUGGGCCAAUGAGAAUCAGACAGCUCCUGGGACUCCUACAACUGUAUUUAGUGAUGAUGACAUUGAUUGGAUUGACCAGGUAGAUAUAGAGGCUGAGGCUGUAGCCAUGGCAGAGGAGGAGCAGAGAGCACGAGCAGAGACAGGAAAUACGAAGACUCAGAGUGACACAGUUGUUCCUGAUGUUGGCGAGCAUGACACAGCUGUUCCUGAUGUUGGUGAGCAUGGCAUGGUGUCACGGGGAGCGACUAUGGGAAAUACGAAGACUCAGAGUGACACAGUUGUUCCUGAUGUUGGCGAGCAUGACACAGCUGUUCCUGAUGUUGGUGAGCAUGGCAUGGUGUCACGGGGAGCGACUAUGGCUGCUGAAUCAUCCAGGACCUACUUUAAAUGCCUUCGCAGGGGGCCAGGGCGAGAGGGUGCAGUUGCACGGCCCUCUGAGCCAUAGGCUUGUACACUUGUAGUUGUAUUUAGUAUUUACUAUUUACCUUUGGU